GACGAACGCUGGCGGCGUGCUUAACACAUGCAAGUCGAACGGUGAAGCGCCUUCCUUUUUGGUGGGUGUGGAUGAGUGGCGAACGGGUGAGUAACACGUGAGUAACCUGCCCCCUUCUUCUGGAUAACCGCAUGAAAGUGUGGCUAAUACGGGAUAUUCUGGGUCUGUCGCAUGAUGGGUCUGGGAAAGAUAUUGUUUCGGUGGGGGAUGGGCUCGCGGCCUAUCAGCUUGUUGGUGGGGUGAUGGCCUACCAAGGCGGUGACGGGUAGCCGGCCUGAGAGGGUCGACGGUCACACUGGGGCGGCGACACGGCGCAGACUCCGACGGGAGGCAGCAGGGGGGAAUAUGGCACAAUGGGCGCAAGGCUGAUGCAGCGACGCCGCGGGAGGGAUGGAGGCCUUCGGGUUGUGAACCUCUUUCGCCAGUGAAGCAGGCCUGCCUCGUUUGUGGGUGGGUUGACGGUAGCUGGAGAAGAAGCGCCGGCUAACUACGUG
rnacentral:rRNA from 1 species